UGGCCUCUGUCCUCGGGACUAUUGUAACC
rnacentral:piRNA from 1 species